rnacentral:rRNA from 1 species
AGGCGUCAGGAUGAACGCUAGCGACAGGCCUAACACAUGCAAGUCGAGGGGCGAGCACAAGGAGCAAUCUGAGGUGGCGACCGGCGCACGGGUGAGUAACACGUAUGCAACCUGCCUGUAAGCGGGGAAGUAACCCGUUGAAAGACGGACUAAUACCGCAUAAUACUAAAUUACUGCAUGGUAAUUUAUUUAAACAUUUAUGGCUUACAGAUGGGCAUGCGCAUGAUUAGCUAGUUGGAGAGGUAACGGCUCCCCAAGGCAACGAUCAUUAGGGGUUCUGAGAGGAAGGUCCCCCCACACUGGUACUGAGACACGGACCAGACUCCUACGGGAGGCAGUAGUGAGGAAUAUUGGUCAAUGGACGAGAGUCUGAACCAGCCAAGUCGCGUGCAGGAAGAAUGUCCCUAUGGAUUGUAAACUGCUUUUGCAGGGGAAUAAAGUGCAUCACGUGUGAUGUUUUGUAUGUACUCUGCGAAUAAGGAUCGGCUAACUCCGUGCCAGCAGCCGC